AGUGAACGCUGGCGGUAGACCUAACACAUGCAAGUCGAACGGCAGCACAGUAAGAGCUUGCUCUUACGGGUGGCGAGUGGCGGACGGGUGAGGAAUACAUCGGAAUCUACUUUUUCGUGGGGGAUAACGUAGGGAAACUUACGCUAAUACCGCAUACGACCUACGGGUGAAAGCAGGGGAUCUUCGGACCUUGCGCGAUUGAAUGAGCCGAUGUCGGAUUAGCUAGUUGGCGGGGUAAAGGCCCACCAAGGCGACGAUCCGUAGCUGGUCUGAGAGGAUGAUCAGCCACACUGGAACUGAGACACGGUCCAGACUCCUACGGGAGGCAGCAGUGGGGAAUAUUGGACAAUGGGCGCAAGCCUGAUCCAGCCAUACCGCGUGGGUGAAGAAGGCCUUCGGGUUGUAAAGCCCUUUUGUUGGGAAAGAAAAGCAGUAGGUUAAUACCCCGCUGUUCUGACGGUACCCAAAGAAUAAGCACCGGCUAACUUCGUG
rnacentral:rRNA from 1 species